rnacentral:rRNA from 1 species
GAGUUUUGAACAUGGCUCAGGAUGAACGCUAGCGGGAGGCCUAACACAUGCAAGCCGAGCGGUAGAGAUUCUUCGGAAUCUUGAGAGCGGCGUACGGGUGCGGAACACGUGUGCAACCUGCCUUUAUCAGGGGGAUAGCCUUUCGAAAGGAAGAUUAAUACCCCAUAAUAUAUUUGAUGGCAUCAUUAGAUAUUGAAAACUGAGGUGGAUAGAGAUGGGCACGCGCAAGAUUAGAUAGUUGGUGAGGUAACGGCUCACCAAGUCAAUGAUCUUUAGGGGGCCUGAGAGGGUGAUCCCCCACACUGGUACUGAGACACGGACCAGACUCCUACGGGAGGCAGCAGUGAGGAAUAUUGGACAAUGGGUGAGAGCCUGAUCCAGCCAUCCCGCGUGAAGGACGACGGCCCUAUGGGUUGUAAACUUCUUUUAUACUGGGAUAAACCUACUUACGUGUAAGUAGCUGAAGGUACAGUAUGAAUAAGCACCGGCUAACUCCGUGCCAGCAGCCGCGGUAAUACGGAGGGUGCAAGCGUUAUCCGGAUUUAUUGGGUUUAAAGGGUCCGUAGGCGGAUCUGUAAGUCAGUGGUGAAAUCUCAUAGCUUAACUAUGAAACUGCCAUUGAUACUGCAGGUCUUGAGUAAGGUAGAGGUAGCUGGAAUAAGUAGUGUAGCGGUGAAAUGCAUAGAUAUUACUUAGAACACCAAUUGCGAAGGCAGGUUACCAUGUCUUAACUGACGCUGAUGGACGAAAGCGUGGGGAGCGAACAGGAUUAGAUACCCUGGUAGUCCACGCCGUAAACGAUGCUAACUCGUUUUUGGGUUUUCGGAUUCAGAGACUAAGCGAAAGUGAUAAGUUAGCCACCUGGGGAGUACGUUCGCAAGAAUGAAACUCAAAGGAAUUGACGGGGGCCCGCACAAGCGGUGGAUUAUGUGGUUUAAUUCGAUGAUACGCGAGGAACCUUACCAAGGCUUAAAUGGGAAUUGACAGGCUUAGAAAUAGGCUUUUCUUCGGACAAUUUUCAAGGUGCUGCAUGGUUGUCGUCAGCUCGUGCCGUGAGGUGUUAGGUUAAGUCCUGCAACGAGCGCAACCCCUGUCACUAGUUGCUAACAUUCAGUUGAGGACUCUAGUGAGACUGCCUACGCAAGUAGAGAGGAAGGUGGGGAUGACGUCAAAUCAUCACGGCCCUUACGCCUUGGGCCACACACGUAAUACAAUGGCCGGUACAGAGGGCAGCUACCAGGUGACUGGAUGCGAAUCUCGAAAGCCGGUCUCAGUUCGGAUUGGAGUCUGCAACUCGACUCUAUGAAGCUGGAAUCGCUAGUAAUCGCGCAUCAGCCAUGGCGCGGUGAAUACGUUCCCGGGCCUUGUACACACCGCCCGUCAAGCCAUGGAAGUCUGGGGUACCUGAAGUCGGUGACCGUAACAGGAGCUGCCUAGGGUAAAACAGGUAACUAGGGCUAA